UACGGAGGGUGCAAGCGUUAAUCGGAAUGACUGGGCGUAAAGCGCGCGCAGGCGGUUUGGUAAGCCGGGUGUGAAAGCCCCGGGCUCAACCUGGGAACUGCAUUUGGAACUGGCAAACUAGAGUCUGGGAGAGGGGGGUAGAAUUUCCGGUGUAGCGGUGAAAUGCGUAGAGAUCGGAAGGAAUACCAGUGGCGAAGGCGGCCCCCUGGCCAAAGACUGACGCUGAGGUACGAAAGCAUGGGGAGCAAACAGG
rnacentral:misc_RNA from 1 species